GACUGGCUGGCGCGGUGGGCGCACGCGCGCUGGCUGCACACCAGAUAGGCCGUUGACCGGCCCGGGGUGAAGUUCAAGCCCUGGGCUGGUUA
rnacentral:tRNA from 1 species